rnacentral:rRNA from 1 species
AUUGAACGCUGGCGGAAUGCUUUACACAUGCAAGUCGAACGGCAGCACGGACUUCGGUCUGGUGGCGAGUGGCGAACGGGUGAGUAAUGUAUCGGAACGUGCCCAGUCGUGGGGGAUAACGUAGUGAAAAUUACGCUAAUACCGCAUACGAUCUAUGGAUGAAAGCGGGGGAUCGCAGGACCGCGCGCGAUUGGAGCGGCCGAUAUCAGAUUAGGUAGUUGGUGGGGUAAAGGCUCACCAAGCCAACGAUCUGUAGCUGGUCUGAGAGGACGACCAGCCACACUGGAACUGAGACACGGUCCAGACUCCUACGGGAGGCAGCAGUGGGGAAUUUUGGACAAUGGGCGAAAGCCUGAUCCAGCCAUUCCGCGUGCAGGAUGAAGGCCCUCGGGUUGUAAACUGCUUUUGUACAGAACGAAAAGGUUUCUACUAAUACUAGGAGCUCAUGACGGUACUGUAAGAAUAAGCACCGGCUAACUACGUGCCAGCCGCCGCCGUAA